rnacentral:rRNA from 1 species
UACGUAGGGGGCGAGCGUUGUCCGGAAUCAUUGGGCGUAAAGAGCUCGUAGGCGGUUCAGUAAGUCGGCUGUGAAAUUCCGAGGCUCAACCUCGGAACUGCAGUCGAUACUAUUGUGACUAGAGUCCGGUAGAGGAGAAUGGAAUUCCCGGUGUAGCGGUGAAAUGCGCAGAUAUCGGGAGGAACACCAGUAGCGAAGGCGGUUCUCUGGGCCGGUACUGACGCUGAGGAGCGAAAGCGUGGGGAGCAAACAGGAUUAGAUACCCUGGUAGUCCACGCUGUAAACGUUGGACACUAGGUGUGGCGGUCUGAUCAACGACUGCCGUGCCGAAGCUAACGCAUUAAGUGUCCCGCCUGGGGAGUACGGCCGCAAGGCUAAA